UACGUAGGUGGCAAGCGUUGUUCGGAAUUAUUGGGCGUAAAGCGCACGUAGGCGGAUCGAUCAGUCAGGGGUGAAAUCCCAGAGCUCAACUCUGGAACUGCCUUUGAUACUGUCGAUCUGGAGUAUGGAAGAGGUGAGUGGAAUUCCGAGUGUAGAGGUGAAAUUCGUAGAUAUUCGGAAGAACACCAGUGGCGAAGGCGGCUCACUGGUCCGGUACUGACGCUGAGGUGCGAAAGCGUGGGGAGCAAACAGG
rnacentral:rRNA from 1 species